rfam:Algibacter sp. SK-16 scaffold5_cov53_read183, whole genome shotgun sequence.
AAGGCGAUACCGAAAAGCCUUAAUAGAGUAGGUU